UGGGGAAUUUUGCGCAAUGGGGGAAACCCUGACGCAGCAACGCCGCGUGAGUGAUGAAGGCUUUCGGGUCGUAAAGCUCUGUCAGAGGGGAAGAAAUGAUGAGGUGCUAAUACCACUUCUUCUUGACGGUACCCUCAAAGGAAGCACCGGCUAACUCCGUGCCAGCAGCCGCGGUAAUACGGAGGGUGCAAGCGUUGUUCGGAUUUAUUGGGCGUAAAGCGCGUGUAGGCGGUCUUCUAAGUCUGAUGUGAAAGCCCUGGGCUCAACCCAGGAAGUGCAUUGGAUACUGGGAGACUUGAAUACGGGAGAGGGUAGUGGAAUUCCUAGUGUAGGAGUGAAAUCCGUAGAUAUUAGGAGGAACACCGGUGGCGAAGGCGGCUACCUGGACCGAUAUUGACGCUGAGACGCGAAAGCGUGGGGAGCAAACA
rnacentral:rRNA from 1 species